AUGUACCACUCGCACACUCGGCUCAUGCACUCCGCCCGCACCCACCUGACGACUGCUCGCUACGUUUUUUGCC
rnacentral:sRNA from 1 species